AGAGUUUGAUCAUGGCUCAGAACGAACGCUGGCGGCGUGCUUAACACAUGCAAGUCGAGUGCGCGCCUGUAGCAAUACAGGUGGCGCACGGCGCACGGGUGCGUAACACGUGGGUAACCUGCCCUUUAGUGGGGAAUAACCUCGCGAAAGCGAGGCUAAUUCCGCAUAAGAUCCGCAAGGAUGAAAGCCGUAAGGCGCUGAUGGAGGGGCCCGCGCACGAUUAGCUAGUUGGUAGGGUAAUGGCCUACCAAGGCUAUGAUCGUUAGCUGGUCUGAGAGGAUGGCCAGCCACACUGGAACUGAGACACGGUCCAGACUCCUACGGGAGGCAGCAGUGGGGAAUCUUGCACAAUGGGCGAAAGCCUGAUGCAGCGACGCCGCGUGGGGGAUGAAGCUUCUCGGAGUGUAAACCCCUUUCGACCCGGACGAAUACCUCGCAAGAGGGGUGACGGUACGGGUAUAAGAAGCCCCGGCUAACUACGUGCCAGCAGCCGCGGUAAGACGUAGGGGGCCAGCGUUGUUCGGAAUUACUGGGUGUAAAGGGUUCGUAGGCGGUGUGGCAAGUCGGGAGUGAAAUUUCUGGGCUCAACUCAGAGACUGCUUCCGAAACUGCUGUGCUUGAGUGUGGGAGAGGCGCGUGGAAUUGCAGGUGUAGCGGUGAAAUGCGUAGAUAUCUGCAGGAACACCCGUGGCGAAAGCGGCGCGCUGGACCACUACUGACGCUGAGGAACGAAAGCUAGGGGAGCAAACAGGAUUAGAUACCCUAGUAGUCC
rnacentral:rRNA from 1 species